rnacentral:sRNA from 1 species
AUCUAAACCCGAUCGAAGCGGGAUGCCAAUUCCUUCCAAUUGGCGAAAGCGGGAGCGGGACCACAA